GGGGGUGCAAUGGUUUCGACGGGGGGAGUGAACGUCGGCAAGCGAGCAGCGGCAUUGCGGAACCGCUAUAAAAUCCGUAAAACUUUUAAAUAAUAAACGACAACAAUAAACCUGUUGCCCUUGCCGCUUAAUCAGGCAAGCGUUCGUAUAGGGAGGACCACGAAAUUAUACGGGCGUCGACUUAGUGGUGAACGUGAAUAAAGAACUGUCUUGAUCUUUGUCAUGAAUUAAAGACUACCGAUACAUCAAGCCUGUCUGCGGGCGAGAUGUGGGGGGAAUCAUAAAUCACAGACUGCGCUCGGAGAAAACCGCCCGGAUCACCUUUCGGACAGGAGUUCGAUUCUCCUCACCUCCACCA
rnacentral:tmRNA from 1 species